UCUGCCCUUUGUACACACCGCCCGUCGCUACUACCGAUUGAAUGGCUUAGUGAGGCCUUGGGAUUGGCUUCGGGGAGCCGGCAACGGCACCCUGUUGCUGAGAACUUGGUCAAACUUGGUCAUUUAGAGGAAGUAAAAGUCGUAACAAGGUUUCCGUAGGUGAACCUGCGGAAGGAUCAUUAACGAGUAACUGACCGGGUUGUAGCUGGCCUCUCGGGGCAUGUGCACACCUGGCUCAUCCACUCUUCAACCUCUGUGCACUUGUUGUAGGUCGGCAGAAGGGCGAGCCUUAAAACAGCUCGCUUGGAAGCCUUCCUAUGUUUUACCACAAACGCUUCAGUUUAAGAAUGUAACCUGCGUAUAACGCAACUAUAUACAACUUUCAGCAACGGAUCUCUUGGCUCUCGCAUCGAUGAAGAACGCAGCGAAAUGCGAUAAGUAAUGUGAAUUGCAGAAUUCAGUGAAUCAUCGAAUCUUUGAACGCACCUUGCGCUCCCUGGUAUUCCGGGGAGCAUGCCUGUUUGAGUGUCAUGGUAUCCUCAUCCUUCAUAACUUUUUGUUAUCGAAGGCAUGGACUUGGAGGUCGUGCUGGUUCCUCGUUGAAUCGGCUCCUCUUAAAUGUAUUAGCGUGAGUGUAACGGAUCGCUUCGGUGUGAUAAUUAUCUGCGCCGUGGUCGUGAAGUAACAUAAGCUUGCGCUUCUAACCGUCCUUAAGCUGGACAACAUAACUUUGACAUCUGACCUCAAAUCAGGUAGGACUACCCGCUGAACUUAAGCAUAUCAAUAAGCGGAGGAAAAGAAACUAACAAGGAUUCCCCUAGUAACUGCGAGUGAACCGGGAAAAGCUCAAAUUUAAAAUCUGGCAGCCUUGGCUGUCCGAGUUGUAAUCUGGAGAAGCGUCUUCCGCGCUGGACCGUGUACAAGUCUCCUGGAACGGAGCGUCAUAGAGGGUGAGAAUCCCGUCUUUGACACGGACUACCAGUGCUCUGUGAUGCGCUCUCAAGAGUCGAGUUGUGGG
rnacentral:rRNA from 1 species